rnacentral:lncRNA from 1 species
CCUUUGGCUGGUCACAGAACUACAGACUUCUCUGCUUUCUUCAGAUGAUUGAGUUAACUUUUCUCCUUUUGCCUUCCUUUUAUUUCUUGUCAGUGCAUGUCCUGGAUUUCAGAUGUUUUAAAAUCCAGACAAAGUCAAACCUUUUCAAAUAUAGCGAAUUCCUGAUCCUGUUUCCACCUUUGCUGUAGGUUAACUCUUGGCACUUCUUAUUCCACUGGCUGUGCUUGUAGUUUAAAUCUUGUGGAUUGUUUUAUUCUAAUAUACUUUGGUGCAGUCUCUUUCGUGCCUUGUUCUUGUUACUCCAGUCUUUCAACUUUGAAAGCUACCACCGCCUUGAAAAACUGGCUCCAUUUCAACAUCCUCCUCUCAAAGGAAAUGAAAAACAUAUUACAAGGAUCUUUUAAUUCUGAGUCUGUUUACAAAGUGGCUCCUGCUUUUUGUUAAUCAGGGGGAGAGGGUGCAAGCAAGCUGAGAUACAAAAUGGAGUUCUGAUGAGGUAAUAUAUAGAAACAAAAGGGACCUUUGGCCUGUUUUAAAGCCCAGGCUAGGCAUGCUGUAUGAUAGUUUUACAUUAAACUAGGACUGUGACCUGGGUAGAAUCUACACUUAUCUACCGUGAGAUUGCUUUCGGCAUGGAUUCUCGUGGAGUAGAGUAUGUGGGAAGGGCUAUGGCAAACUGAAAUAGCCAUGUAAAAUUUGCAAGAAAGAUCUGAGAUCUGCUGUGUGAGCCCCCCCCCCAUUAAUAGAGACCAUGCCCAGGAUAAUUUCAUUUUGCUGCUUGAAAAAGCAAAAUGGACAAUGUUAAUGUGAUUACCUUUACAGUAUGUUUUAUUUAAUUUUACCACAAAACUUUGUUGAUUUAUAAAAGUAUUUAUAUUCCACCUUCCUGAAAAGAAAAUCUGGAAAGCGAUGUUGUCCAUUUCAGUUAUAUUUCACAGUGCUGUAAGAGGGAAGAUUAAGAGGGGAAAUGAAAGAGGCAUUAUCAGAUUUUAGCCACUGAGAAGUCUUCUCACCCUUUGCGUUGAUUGGAGCCAAUUAGAGUUAAAGGAGGUGAGUGAGCCACUGGAAAUUGGCCCCUAGAGUCACUCUGGAGGUGUGUAGGGAAAAACACUGAGGAAGAGUUCUAUAUACAGCACUCCAUCUAGAAACACCGAGAACACAAGGUAGUCAGUUUCAAGAGAAUGGUGUGCAAGUUCUGUUAUGUACUUCAAGGAAAACACAACUUAGUUAAAGGUAAAGGGACCCCUGACCAUUAGGUCUAGUUGUGGCCGACUCUGGGGUUGUGGCACUCACCUCGCUUUAUUGGCCGAGGAAGCCAGUGUACAGCUUCCGGGUCAUGUGGCCAACAUGACUAAGCCGCUUCUGGCGAACCAGAGCAACGCACGGAAAUGCCGUUUACCUUCCCGCCGGAGCGGUACCUACUUGCACUUUGACGUGCUUUCGAGCUGCUAGGUUGGCAGGAGCAAGGACCGAGCAACAGGAGCUCACCCCAUCGCGGGGAUUCGAACCGCCGACCUUCUGAUCGGCAAGCCCUAGGCUCUGUGGUUUAACCCACAGCGCUACCCGCAUCCCUCCCAAAACACAACUUACUUACAUCAUUCCAAAAGGAGACAUUGGAGCAUUCCUAAUCACUUGCCUAUGAAUGUGCACAGAAAAUAGUAGAUCUAGCUGAAAGGCAAAACAUGGAGAUUUUCACUGAUCAUUGCAAUGCAUCCUAGUUAUUAUCAUUGUGAAUCUAUAUGAUUAUUGUACAGUCUUAGAUUGCUGUAUAAU